GAGUUUUCAGAUGAGUGAUUUUCCUGUGAGUCUCCAUCUGUGUGCUUUAGUCUUGCAACCAGCAAGUGUAGGUGACUGCCUUUUCCAAGCCCCACCCAGUGCCAGUGGAAUGAGCACUGACCUGUCCUUUCCUGCCUGAUACCUCAGUCUCCCUCAACACGAGUUCCCUUCCAUGAAAUUCAAGGACGUGGAGAUUGGCGUCCACAUGCCUUUCCCUUGCCAGGAGAACUCUGGAGUUUCUGCCAAUAUGAAGAAGAUGACUUUUCAAACGACCCCUGACUCCGCUGAGAGAACGAGCCUGGACUAGCCUGCUGGAGGAAGAGAACAAGCACGGGUCAGUCUGUGGAGUAGAACCAACUCUUCCUACCUGAGGCCAUGCUAGACAGGCCAGCCCUCAGCCCAGCUGCCAGUGACCACUGAACAAGCCCACCUGGAUUCAGCCAGCCCGGGCCCAAAUCACCAAAACCACCCAGCCACCAUGUAGACAUGUGCCAUAAUAAAUGGUUGUUGCUUUCA